rnacentral:lncRNA from 1 species
UUCUGAUUCACGGCACUCACCACUUUAUAUUAAAUAAGCUGUAUGUCCCUCUAUCUCCUAGCAACCAGGAGCUUCUCCAGGGUGGGGAGAAGGCUUUUCCUCGUAGCACUCAGCUCAGGGCUGGCUUCUGGCUUUACACUCACCCUGGUUUGUAACUACCCAUUUCUUUGUGGGAUCAUUUGCUUAAUGCCAUUCUCCCCCACCAUGCCGAAGGCCCACGAAGACGGAGUAUAGGGAACCUACCCAGUAAGGUGACCAACCUUCCCGGUUUGCCUUUGUCCCCCGGGGUGUUUCCUGGGACAGGGACUGCCUGUGCUAAAACCAGGAAAAUGCCCAGCAAAUCAAGACAGCGGCCACCCCUACCAGGGCUUGGCAUAGAAGAAGCCUUCGAGCACCAUUUGUCCCUGACAUUCAAGACAUAUAUAUUGAAAUGAACUGUAGAGCAGCCCAGCCAAAGGCAUACUCUUUCAUUCUGCAUUUCUUCACACCGACUGUGCCCGGUAACCAGCUUGUCAGAAGCGGGGGAUUCAGGAAAGAGUGUCCCAGCAGCCAGGACUGGAAAUCUUUGCUCCUUGCAGAGAUCCAGCAACCCAAACCAUGCCACGAGGCUGUCCUCCCGGGAGACGUCACCCCUGUCCAACCAGUAGGUGAGAGGACAUCCGUGCACAGCCAGGAGCCCUUUUCGGAAGAGGCUUCACAGACUUUGAGGACCUGGUGAUCCUCUGAGAAGAACAUUUCUCUGAUUCACCUCCCUCGAUUCAGAGAGAAGGACUGUUCCUAAAACGACCGAGUAAGUGAGAAGCCGAGGGUGGGCGGCUCCCUCCUUAGCUUUUCUCAAUAAAGAACUGAAUCACGGAAAAGGGGGCCCCUUGCUCCUCCUGGCAGACAGGAGAAAGUUCUAGAAGGUGAACACACAACGAAAUAAAAACAUUAAAUCAAGAG